rnacentral:rRNA from 1 species
UAACGCGUGGGAAACCUGCCCUGNACCGGGGGAUAACACUUAGAAAUAGGUGCUAAUACCGCAUAAGCGCACGGAACCGCAUGGUUCCGUGUGAAAAACUCCGGUGGUACAGGAUGGUCCCGCGUCUGAUUAGCCAGUUGGCAGGGUAACGGCCUACCAAAGCGACGAUCAGUAGCCGGCCUGAGAGGGUGAACGGCCACAUUGGGACUGAGACACGGCCCAAACUCCUACGGGAGGCAGCAGUGGGGAAUAUUGCACAAUGGGGGAAACCCUGAUGCAGCGACGCCGCGUGAGUGAAGAAGUAUUUCGGUAUGUAAAGCUCUAUCAGCNNGNAAGAAAAUGACGGUACCUGACUAAGAAGCCCCGGCUAACUACGUGCCAGCAGCCGCGGUAAUACGUAGGGGGCAAGCGUUAUCCGGAUUUACUGGGUGUAAAGGGAGCGUAGACGGCAUGGCAAGCCAGAUGUGAAAACCCAGGGCUCAACCUUGGGAUUGCAUUUGGAACUGCCAGGCUGGAGUGCAGGAGAGGUAAGCGGAAUUCCUAGUGUAGCGGUGAAAUGCGUAGAUAUUAGGAGGAACACCAGUGGCGAAGGCGGCUUACUGGACUGUAACUGACGUUGAGGCUCGAAAGCGUGGGGAGCAAACAGGAUUAGAUACCCUGGUAGUCCACGCGGUAAACGAUGAUUGCUAGGUGU